CUCUCUGCCAUAAUAAAUUAACUACUUGAAUCACUUUCACCAACCUGCUUUUAGAUGGCAUUGUUCCCCACUAAUUCAAAGUCUCAUUCAAACAGGUAAUUAGUUUUAUGUACAAAAAGAGCCACCUCUGAAAUGGAUUAGUUACAGGAAUUUACAGAAACUAAGUACAGGAAGGAACCACUGAAUAAAAUACAAAGGAAAAAUAUAUUGCAAUAAAAUUAAACGAAAGCUUCAGUGCUCAGAUUGCACAUUGACUUUUGGUAUAUAAAAUUAUGCAAGUCUGGUAUAGUUCUGUUGUCCACAUAGUAGGCUUAUGUCCUCUGCACUCAUCAAUGUUUAUACGUUUGUUUGAGAAGGAUUUUUUUAAAAAAUAUUUUAAUCACUAAAAUGUGUUCCUUUUUUAUGACAAUGAAGAAGAAUGGAAAAAAAGGAUCCUAAUAUAGAUGGCUUUUUAUUAAUACUUGUCCUUCAAGCGCUUUCAUUCCUCCAGCUGCUACUUUCCUAGCAAUUAGUCCUAGCAAUUUUGUUAUCAGUAAAGAAAAGCAUUUCAUAUUGUUGGGGUAGGCAUGUUUGAGGAUUUUUGGUUUAAGUGAGGAGCCCUUAAAUUGUAGCCUGUAUAAAAUUCCAAGAGUAAAAGGACAGUAUUUUUUUUUUCUUUUUUUUUUUUUUUUUCGGAAAUUCCUGUAUUUUGCAUCUACAUCAUAUGGAUAUUAAAUAAUUAUGUUAAAAUAUAUUAAAUCAUCUGGUCAAAUUCCAACAAACUUUCCAUUCAGUACUUUUGGAAAAUAUUCAAAAUUAUUACAAGGAGAACAGGAAAAGAGAACAUGGCAUAAAGUGAUGUAUUUUAGCUAAAACUAAGACAAAUUUUUCAAUAAUACAACCCUUAAAUAAAUAAAAAAUACAUACAAGUAAUCAAAAGUGAUUAAAAAUUAGGAAGGCAACAGAUAAAUAAAUUCUUCUUCCUUUCAACAUAAUAAGACCAGACACAAUGUGUUCCAUAGGGAAGAUUAUCCCAAAUAUAUCCCUGUUCUAGCGAUAAACAAAGUGAAGAUAUCAGCAACUGCCUCUCCACACCUGGUCCUCAAAUGUAUGUAACCGUCUUGUCACUUAUUUCCAGUGUUUUCCUCCUAACUUGCAUUUCUGUAACAAGACAGUAAGAAGGUGUUGUAGCCAGUGGAAGAACUAUCUUUUGCCUGGUAUCUUCCAUUGUGUAUUUCUCCCCAGAAAGAUGCUGUUUCCACAGCAUCUUAGAAGCCAAUCUUAGCUUGAUGUAAGGGCAUACUACAGCUUCAUUAGAAAACAGAAAUCAUAUCGUUAGACUAAGUGGGAUGAUACACAACAUUUUCACAGACCCUUCCCAUUCACACAAAAUUGAAUAAGCAGUUACUGUCUCAGCUCCAGGGUAAGUUUUUGUGAUUUGUUUACUAUAUAAAUAAAGAAGCAAAACCUAAAGACCUGUCUUCAACCAGAACACUGACCAAGAAUAAGAUGUCAUAUCAUACUGCUAGUCUAUCACUACAAUUUUUCAUGUGAUGUAAUGUAACUGAUGUAACUCUUCCCCCUUUGAGCCCUAACAUGUAGCCACAAGCUCAGAACACAGUCAUGCACACUUUCUUGGACAGUGUCAGUCUUUGGAACUUUCUAGAGGACAAC